GACACGGGGAGGUAGUGACA
rnacentral:siRNA from 1 species